UGGUAUGAAUAAUAUUCAAUCUUCUUCCAUGAGCAAGUCGUAUUCAUCUUUAUAUGAUUAUGCAUAUGAACUAGAGUAUAUAUGGUUGUGUUCUUUUCAUGUUCAUAGUAUAUGAACUAGUUCUUAGUUCUUGUGCUAUGUUCUUGAUAUGUUCAUCAUUGUUCUUCAUUGUUCAUCAGAUUAGUAUGAUUAGGAUUAGAAUUAGGAAUGGGAUGAUGGUUCACUAUGCUGUGAUGGUUGCUCUUAGCCUAGCCUGUCACUCCAAAGGGGUGGGGCCCACGGGGGUUAGGAGUUGUUUCCAAUUACGUGAACAAGGUGUUCAGGUAUGCGGGAAUCUGUGGAUGUGCGGGUAUCUUUCGGGUAGAGUGGUAGGUGGCUGGGUAGUGACAACUCUGUCAUCCUUUGCAUU
rnacentral:lncRNA from 1 species